CGAUUCGAGCGCAGCGAGAAAGCGUUGCCGCAGGCAACGACCCGAAGGGUGAAGCGCGCAGCGCUGAGUAAUCCUUCCCCCACCACCA
rnacentral:sRNA from 3 species